GUGGGGAAUUUUCCGCGAUGGGCGAAAGCCUGACGGAGCAAUGCCGCGUGGAGGUGGAAGGCCUACGGGUCGUCAACUUCUUUUCUCGGAGAAGAAACAAUGACGGUAUCUGAGGAAUAAGCAUCGGCUAACUCUGUGCCAG
rnacentral:rRNA from 1 species